rnacentral:rRNA from 1 species
UAGGGAAUCUUCGGCAAUGGGGGGAACCCUGACCGAGCAACGCCGCGUGAGUGAAGAAGGUUUUCGGAUCGUAAAGCUCUGUUGUUAAGGAAGAACGAGUGUGAGAAUGGAAAGUUCAUACUGUGACGGUACUUAACCAGAAAGGGACGGCUAACUACGUGCCAGCAGCCGCGGUAAUACGUAAGGUCCGAGCGUUGUCCGGAAUCAUUGGGCGUAAAGGGUACGUAGGCGGGUAAGCAAGUUAGAAGUGAAAUCCUGUAGCUCAACUACAGUAAGCUUUUAAAACUGCUCAUCUUGAGAUAUGGAAGGGAAAGUGGAAUUCCUAGUGUAACGGUGAAAUGCGCAGAUAUUAGGAGGAAUACCGGUGGCGAAGGCGACUUUCUGGCCAUAAUCUGACGCUGAGGUACGAAAGCGUGGGUAGCAAACAGG